rnacentral:rRNA from 1 species
UACGAAGGGUGCAAGCGUUACUCGGAAUUACUGGGCGUAAAGCGUGCGUAGGUGGUUCGUUAAGUCUGAUGUGAAAGCCCUGGGCUCAACCUGGGAAUGGCAUUGGAUACUGGCGACCUAGAGAGCGGUAGAGGGGUGUGGAGUUCCCGGUGUAGCAGUGAAAUGCGUAGAUAUCGGGAGGAACAUCUGUGGCGAAGGCGACACCCUGGACCAGCACUGACACUGAGGCACGAAAGCGUGGGGAGCAAACAGG